rnacentral:rRNA from 1 species
AGUGAACGCUGGCGGUAGGCCUAACACAUGCAAGUCGAACGGCAGCACAGUAAGAGCUUGCUCUUACGGGUGGCGAGUGGCGGACGGGUGAGGAAUACAUCGGAAUCUACUUUUUCGUGGGGGAUAACGUAGGGAAACUUACGCUAAUACCGCAUACGACCUACGGGUGAAAGCAGGGGAUCUUCGGACCUUGCGCGAUUGAAUGAGCCGAUGUCGGAUUAGCUAGUUGGCGGGGUAAAGGCCCACCAAGGCGACGAUCCGUAGCUGGUCUGAGAGGAUGAUCCGCCACACUGGAACUGAGAAACGGUCCAGACUCCUACGGGAGGCAGCAGUGGGGAAUAUUGGACAAUGGGCGCAAGCCUGAUCCAGCCAUACCGCGUGGGUGAAGAAGGCCUUCGGGUUGUAAAGCCCUUUUGUUGGGAAAGAAAAGCAGCAGGUUAAUACCCCGCUGUUCUGACGGUACCCAAAGAAUAAGCACCGGCUAACUUCGUG